UACGUAGGUGGCAAGCGUUGUCCGGAAUUAUUGGGCGUAAAGCGCGCGCAGGCGGUCCUUUAAGUCUGAUGUGAAAGCCCACGGCUCAACCGUGGAGGGUCAUUGGAAACUGGGGGACUUGAGUACAGAAGAGGAAAGCGGAAUUCCGCGUGUAGCGGUGAAAUGCGUAGAGAUGUGGAGGAACACCAGUGGCGAAGGCGGCU
rnacentral:rRNA from 1 species